GGAGUUGUGGCUCAGUGGUAGAGAGCUUGCCUUGCAAGCAUGAGGCCCUGGGUUUGAUUCCCAGCACCA
rnacentral:tRNA from 1 species